AGAGUUUGAUCAUGGCUCAGAAUCAACGCUGGCGGCGUGCCUAACACAUGCAAGUCGAACGCGAAAGUCCCGCAAGGAUAAGUAGAGUGGCAAACGGGUGAGUAACGCGUGGGUGACCUGCCUUCGAGCGGGGGAUAACGUUCCGAAAGGGACGCUAAUACCGCAUAACAUCCUGCUUUUGAACAAGCGGAGAUCAAAGCUGGGGAUCGCAAGACCUAGCACUCGAAGAGGGGCCCGCGUCCGAUUAGCUAGUUGGUGGGGUAAUGGCUCACCAAGGCAACGAUCGGUAGCCGGCCUGAGAGGGCGGACGGCCACACUGGGACUGAGACACGGCCCAGACUCCUACGGGAGGCAGCAGUGGGGAAUUGUUCGCAAUGGGCGCAAGCCUGACGACGCAACGCCGCGUGGAGGAUGAAGAUCUUCGGGUCGUAAACUCCUGUCGAAUGGGACGAACGGACUGCGAGCGAACAGCUCGUGGUAGUGACGGUACCGUUAAAGGAAACCCCGGCUAACUCCGUGCCAGCAGCCGCGGUAAUACGGGGGGGGUAAGCGUUGUUCGGAAUUACUGGGCGUAAAGGGCUCGUAGGCGGCCAACUAAGUCAGACGUGAAAUCCCUCAGCUUAACUGGGGAACUGCGUCUGAUACUGGAUGGCUUGGAUUCGGGAGAGGGAUGCGGAAUUCCAGGUGUAGCGGUGAAAUGCGUAGAUAUCUGGAGGAACACCGGUGGCGAAGGCGGCAUCCUGGACCGACAUUGACGCUGAGGAGCGAAAGCCAGGGGAGCAAACGGGAUUAGAUACCCUAGUAGUCC
rnacentral:rRNA from 1 species